rnacentral:misc_RNA from 1 species
AACGCACAUUGCGCCCGCUAGUAUUCUGGCGGGCAUGCCUGUCCGAGCGUCAUUUCAACCCUCAAGCCCCCGGGCUUGGUGUUGGGGAUCGGCGAGCCUCCGCGCCCGCCGUCCCCUAAAUCUAGUGGCGGUCUCGCUGUAGCUUCCUCUGCGUAGUAGCACACCUCGCACUGGGAAACAGCGCGGCCACGCCGUUAAACCCCCAACUUCUGAACGUUUGACCUCGGGUCAGGUAGGAAUACCCGCUGAACUUAA